rnacentral:lncRNA from 10 species
GUUCACCAUGCCACACCUUACCCCAGCCUCAUCAUAGCAUACUCUAGGGACACAAGAGGCGAUUUCAAGAAACACUAAUAGGAUUGUGAGAAAGUUGGCCAAGGAAGAGGAACAGCCAAUAAACGGUGACUUGUCAAGACAGUUAGGACCCUGGGAGCUAAAUCUGCCUGGAGAACUCUGGAAAUCAGUGUGGAACACAUACUUCAGCAUCAUCUCAGCUAAUGGACAAGUAAGCUUUCUGACUGAAGCCCAUGUUUUGACUGGAGCACCUUGAUUAAACAGAAGACCCUCUGAGGAAACACCACAGACAAAAGUGUACAUGGUAAAUAUUCCUCCAAGAUUUCCCAAAGGAUCAUAUGGCUGUUUUCCAUCAUGAUAGAAAGCAAGAAGAAAAUAUAAAAUAAGCUUUCAGCAAUUUAAAAUGCAGCAGAAGGAGUUACAUGCCAUUUUCCAGAAAAAAAUAUCAACCUGUAGCAGAUUUGCAAUCUGAACCUGAGCUCUGCAUGGACAUUGCCAAACUUCAAGCCAGCAAAUCAAGCUGAGAGAACAUCUCCUGAGGUCCCUGCCUCCUGCCUCACAUCUCGUACAUCUUGAUUACCUUGCUGAGGCUGCUCUAUUGACCUUAAGCCAGCCUCACAGCAGAGAAAAGAUUUCCAGAAAGACUUUUAUUUAUCAUUCUGUGGAAGGAAACUUUGGCUAUAGUUGAUGAGAAUUAAUUUGUCUCCCUUGUCACCUCCAUGCAAAAUGCAAUUCUGAAUAGUUUCUUAGUAGAUGGUCCAGAGACUUCAAGAGAUCUAGCAAUUAGCUCUUAGCAAGUGGAUGCUUUAGUAAGUGGCUUUGACAUAGCCUCAAAUGUUUCUAUGUCCUUUCAUAACUUAAUCCUAGCCUUGUCUUGCUCUCCUGUUAUUUAGAAUUGCAUGCAAACCUAGUAUCAGGCUCUGCUUUCAGGUGAAGCUGGGCUAUAUAUAUAUAUAUAUAUAUAUAUAUAUAUAAUUUUUUUUUGCAUAUUGACACUCUAAAAGUGUUACAGCAGCAUACCCCUUCCCUGUGUUCAAGGCAAUUUGAUAACUUAUUUCCAUGCCGAGCUCAUUGAGAGCUCAUUAUGAACAUAUUCUGAAGAGAGAGGGUCCCAUCUGAAGUGUCAUGAAGAUGCCAUCCUGUUCCUAAAGACAUUCAUUCAUUGGUAUGCAUCUGAAAUUAGAAUUAUGAUGAAAAUAAAAAUAAUACUGUGUGAAUUUCUAUGCCAAGAUGUUAUAUAUUUUGCUAAAUUUAUUCCUCAUAUUCAAUGUGUAUAAUGCUAUGUGAUUGGUAGCAUAAAAUAGCUUUGUUAUUA